CAGCAGCCGCGGUAAUACGAAGGUCCCGAGCGUUGUUCGGAAUCACUGGGCGUAAAGGGAGCGUAGGCGGCGUGGUAAGUCAAAUGUGAAAUCCCGGGGCUCAACCUGGGAAUUGCAGUGGAUACUGGGUCACUAGAGUGUGGUAGAGGAUAGUGGAAUUUCCGGUGUAGCAGUGAAAUGCGUAGAGAUCGGAAGGAACAUCUGUGGCGAAGGCGACUAUCUGGGCCAACACUGACACUGAGGCACGAAAGCGUGGGGAGCAAACAGGAUUAGAUACCCCCGUAGUCCCUGUCUCUUAUAA
rnacentral:rRNA from 1 species